GUUGUAUAGUCAAGUAAUUAAGUGCAUGUGGUGGAUGCCUUGGCAGUCAGAGGCGAUGAAAGACGUGAUAGCCUGCGAAAAGCUCCGGGGAGGCGGCAAAUAUCCUUUGAUCCGGAGAUGUCUGAAUGGGGGAACCCACCUACUUUAAGGUAGGUAUUGCAACAUGAAUACAUAGUGUUGCAAGGCGAACGAGGGGAAGUGAAACAUCUCAGUACCCUUAGGAAAAGAAAUCAAUUGAGAUUCCCUCAGUAGCGGCGAGCGAAAGGGGAUCAGCCCAUUAAGUUAUGUGUGUUUUAGUGGAACGCUCUGGGAAGUGCGAACGUA
rnacentral:rRNA from 1 species